rnacentral:tRNA from 1 species
CAGAUAGCUCAGUUGGUAGAGCAUGAGACUCUUCAUCUCAAGGCUGUGGGUUCAAGACCCAUAUUGGGUGAAAGA